rnacentral:rRNA from 1 species
UACAGGGGUCCCAAGCGUUGUUCGGAUUUACUGGGCGUAAAGGGCGCGUAGGCGGCGUGACAAGUCACUUGUGAAAUCUCUGGGCUUAACCCAGAACGGCCAAGUGAAACUGUUGUGCUAGAGUGCAGAAGGGGCAAUCGGAAUUCUCGGUGUAGCGGUGAAAUGCGUAGAUAUCGAGAGGAACACCAGAGGUGAAGACGGGUUGCUGGGCUGACACUGACGCUGAGGCGCGAAAGCCAGGGGAGCAAACGGG